AGAGUUUGAUCAUGGCUCAGAACGAACGCUGGCGGCGUGCCUAACACAUGCAAGUCGAGCGAGAAAGGGGAGCAAUCCCUGAGUAAAGCGGCGAACGGGUGAGUAACACGUAGGUUACCUGCCUUUCAGCUCGGGACAACCUGUCGAAAGACGGGCUAAUACCGGAUAAGACCACGACUCUUUCGGGAGCAGUGGUAAAAGAUGGCCUCUUCAUGAACGCUAUCUCUGAAAGAUGGGCCUGCGCACCAUUAGCUAGUUGGUAGGGUAAUGGCCUACCAAGGCUACGAUGGUUAGCUGAUCUGAGAGGAUGAUCAGCCACACUGGAACUGAAACACGGUCCAGACUCCUACGGGAGGCAGCAGUGGGGAAUAUUGCGCAAUGGGGGAAACCCUGACGCAGCAACGCCGCGUGAGUGACGAAGGCCUUCGGGUCGUAAAGCUCUGUCGGAGGGGAAGAAACUAUUCAUGGCUAAUAUCCAUGGAUAUUGACGGUACCCUCAAAGGAAGCACCGGCUAACUCCGUGCCAGCAGCCGCGGUAAUACGGAGGGUGCAAGCGUUGUUCGGAAUUACUGGGCGUAAAGCGCGUGUAGGUGGCUCGUCAUGUCAGGUGUGAAAGCCCUCGGCCUAACCGAGGAAGUGCGCCUGAAACUGCCGAGCUUGAGUACGAGAGAGGAGGACGGAAUUCCCAGUGUAGAGGUGAAAUUCGUAGAUAUUGGGAGGAACACCGGUGGCGAAAGCGGUUCUCUGGAUCGAUACUGACACUAAGACGCGAAAGCGUGGGUAGCAAACAGGAUUAGAUACCCUGGUAGUCCACGCCGUAAACGAUGGAUAUUAGUUGUUGCGAGUUUAACCCUCGCAGUGACGACGCUAACGCAUUAAAUAUCCCGCCU
rnacentral:rRNA from 1 species